UUGAGCGGAGAUAUAUGGAGCUUGCUUUAUAUAACUUAGCAGCGAACGGGUGAGUAACACGUAGAUAAUCUAUCCUAUACUGGGGGAUAGCCCGAUGAAAGUUGGAUUAAUACCGCAUAUAGCUAUAUAGUUGCAUGAUUAUGUAGUGAAAGAUUUAUUGGUAUAGGAGGAGUCUGCGGCACAUUAGCUAGUAGGUGAGGUAAAGGCUUACCUAGGCGACGAUGUGUAGCCGGUCUGAGAGGAUGAACGGCCACAAUGGAACUGAGACACGGUCCAUACUCCUACGGGAGGCAGCAGUGGGGAAUAUUGCACAAUGGGGGAAACCCUGAUGCAGCAACGCCGCGUGAGUGAAGAAGGUUUUCGGAUUGUAAAGCUCUGUUAGCAGGGAAGAGGAAGGACGGUACCUGCAGAGGAAGCCACGGCUAACUACGUGCCAGCAGCCGCGGUAAUACGUAGGUGGCAAGCGUUGUUCGGAAUAACUGGGCGUAAAGGAUGCGUAGGCGGUUAAACAAGUUAUAUGUUAAAUAUAUAGGCUUAACCUGUAGAAAGCAUAUAAAACUGUUUAACUAGAGUGCAGGAGAGGUAAGUGGAAUUCCUAGUGUAGCGGUGAAAUGCGUAGAGAUUAGGAAGAACACCAGUGGCGAAGGCGACUUACUGGACUGUAACUGACGCUGAGGCAUGAGAGCAUGGGGAGCAAACAGGAUUAGAUACCCUGGUAGUCCAUGCUGUAAACGAUGGGUACUAGGUGUGGGUUGUGAAUAACAAUUCGUGCC
rnacentral:rRNA from 1 species